rnacentral:rRNA from 1 species
UGUUAGACGGAUGACUUGGCUUAGACUGCGAAGAAGGACGUGGCAAGCUGCGAUAAGCUUGGGGGAGCCGCAUGCAGGCUUUGAUCCCAAGAUUUCCGAAUGUGAAACAUUAGCCAUGAAGAAUGGCUAGCUCUCCUUAAACAAGAGAGCGCAUACGCCGGGAAUUGAAACAUCUUAGUACCGGCAGGAAAAGAAAACAAUAGUGAUUCCCCUAGUAGCAGCGAGCGAAAAGGGAACAAGGCAAACCGAAUCCCUUGUCGAAAGAUAAGGGAGAUGUGGAGUUGGCUGGGUUACACCUAAAGCUAUGAAGUUGAACUUCUCUGGAAAGAGAGGCCAUAGAGAGUGAUAGCCUCGUAAACAGAAUAGCUAUGGUGAGUGCCCAUGUCCAAGAGUAGCGCGUCCCGGUUAGGACGCGUGAAUAUGGUUCUACUAAGAACCAACUUUAAAUAUGGGUCUAAGACCGAUAGCGCACUAGUACCGCGAGGGAAUGUUGAAAAGAACCUCUAGCGAGGAGUGCAAAGACCUGAAAUCUAACAGCGAUAGUCAGUUACUGCUUUUCACUUCUUUGCAAGUGAAGAGUUGUAACAUACGUUUUGGAAAACGGGCCAGGGAGUUAACGUUAGUGGCGAGGUUAAGUCUCUUUGAGAUGGAACCAAAGCGAAAGCAAAUGCUCGUAUCUUGCAUUUUUGCAAGAAAGGAGCAGUGUCUUAAUGGCAUUAGUCACUAGCGUUAGACCUGAAACCAGGUGAUCUACUCGCGAGCAGGAUGAAGCUUCCCUAACGGGGAGUGGAGGUCCGAACAAGUGUUGUGGGCAAGCACUUUGAUGACUUGUGAGUAGGGGUGAAAAGCCUAUCUAACCUGGCGAUGGCUGGUUCCUGCUGAAAUAUACUUUCGUAUAGUCUCUUGUUAGUUGGUUAUCACGGUAGAGCUACGGAUGGGGCAUGCGGGCGAGUUUUCUCGUCGGUGUCCUUUCCAACUCCGAAUGUGAUAACAACGCAGCAAGGGAAACAGGUGUGCGGGGUAAGCUUGUACACCGAAACCGGAACAACGGAGACUAGAGUUAAGGUCCCUAAAUGUUAACUAAGUGCUUUCGAAAGGAGUCUUGAUUCUGAGACAGUGGGGAGGUAGGCUCAGAGGCAGCCACCCUUUAAAGAAAGCGUAACAGCUCACCCAUCGAGAAUCAGGGCACUGAAGAUUGACGGGGCUAAGUUAACUACCGAGACUCUGGUGUUUUUCCUUCGGGAAAAACAGGUAAGCAGGCGUGCUGUUUGGGCAGAAGCUUCUUCGUAAGAAGGGGUGGACCGAAUAGCAACGAAAAUCCUGGCACUAGUAGGAUCUUACUUACGUGAGAGCCGUAAGGGUCGUAAGAGCUAGGGUUCCUCGACAAUGUCGAUCAGUCGAGGGUUAGCCGAUCCUAACUGUGUCCUUAACUGAGACACGGGAAAGGGAAGCAUGUUAAUAUUCAUGCGCUGCUUAACAUCGUAGAAAUUCUUGAUAACGCUUCGGGAUAAGCAGAGUGUAUCCGUAAGGACAUCUCUUGCGAGAAAGUUGUGGAGUAUCGUAAUGAUGAGAAGCAACUGAAUUGCAGGGGCGAAAGUCUGUUGAUUCCUGGAGCCCGUGAAAAGUCAAGAAUGGAGAUGUUAAGCAAUCGUACCCUAGAACUUGCACUGGUGCUCUUGCUGAGAAGGCAAAGAUCUGCAAGCUUAAAGCUGGUAAGGGAACUCGGCAUAUUGGUCCCGUAGCUUCGGUAGAAGGGAUGCCUAUAUUCGUGUUUAGAAAAAUUUAAACGCGAAGGUAGGUUGCAAUAACAAGGACCGCCCGACUGUUUAUCAAAAACGUAGCCAAGUGCUAGGCCGAAAGGCUUCGUACACUUGGUGAGACCUGCCCAGUCGCGGUGUUUAAAAGUCCUUUUCAAGGGACCUAAGACCCGUGAAACGGCGGGCCUAACUGUGAGGCUCUUAAGGUAGCGUAAUACCUUGUCGUCUGAAUGGCGACUUGCAUGAAUGGUUUAACGAGGUGGUCACUGUCCCUACCAGCGAGCUUCCGAACCUCUCAUCCUGGUGCAAAGACCAGGGACGUCUAGUGGGAAGCGAAGACCUUGUGGACCUUUACUGCAACUUGUCGUUGUUUUUUGUAAAGGGAUACAUAGAGUAGCUAGGAGAGAUGAAGUGUAGCUUUGGCAAAGCGGAUCGAAAGUGUAACACUAGCUAUCUUUUUGCAAGAAACUAACUCGAAAGAGGACAGCGGCUGGCGGGCAGUUUGGCUGGGGCGGCACCCUUCCGAAAAGAUAUCGGAAGGGCCCAAAGGUGAGCUCAACAUAGUUGGAAACUAUGUGUAGAGCGCAGGGGCAAAAGCUCGCCUGACUGUGUUGCGCAGAGAGAGCAAUGCAGAUGCGAAAGCAGGGCCCAGCGAACUCUUGAGGCUUUUUAGUGGGGCCCAAGAGUGACAGAAAAGGUACCCCAAGGAUAACAGGCUUGUCGCACCCGAUAGUCCAUAUUGACGGUGCGGUUUGGUACAUCGCCGUCGGCUCUUCCUAUCCUGGCUGUGCACAAGCAGCCAAGGGUGUCGGGGUUCACGCAUUAAAAGGGAUCGUUAGCUGGGUUAAGAACGUCGCGAGACAGUUUGUUUGAUAUCUACUAGACGUGUUGUUGCCUGAGUGGAACAAGCAAGUAGUACGAGAGGAACCUUGCUUGGGAGCCUCUGGUUUAGCGGUUGUCCUUACAGGGCAGGCCGCGCAGCUACGCUCUAGCUGAUAAGAGCUGAAAGCAUCUAAGCUCGAAGCAGCCCGCGAAAAUAGGCAACUAAGGCCGUUGUAGAAGACAACGUUGAUAGAGUUGGGGUGUAAG